GACCAAGGAGUCUAACAUGUGCGCGAGUCGUAGGGUUACGCUCAAAGCCCGAAGGCGCAAUGAAAGUGAAGGUCGGCCUCGAUUGCCGUUACCUAGGCGGGAUCCGUUCGGGCUUACCGGUCGUUCGCGGCUGAGCCCGGCGGCGCACCGCCGGCCCGUCUCGACCGCAUCGCCGGUGAGGCGGAGCGAGAGCGUACACGUUGGGACCCGAAAGAUGGUGAACUAUGCCCGGGCAGGACGAAGCCAGAGGAAACUCUGGUGGAGGUCCGUAGCGAUUCUGACGUGCAAAUCGAUCGUCGGACCUGGUUAUAGGGGCGAAAGACUAAUCGAACCUUCUAGUAGCUGGUUCCU
rnacentral:rRNA from 1 species